AUGGUAGGAGACGACUGGGUCCUAAUGUGGCUAUACAAGGUAAUGUGGAUCCUGGAGUUCUCUUUGGCUCCAAGGAAUUUAUUACCAACCGGAUAAAUGAUACAGUGAAGAAAGCUGGUAAAGGGAAACAUAUUUUGAACCUUGGACAUGGCAUCAAAGUAGGUACACCUGAGGAAAAUGUUGCUCACUUCUUUGAGGUUGCUAAAGGUCUUAGGUAUUAGAAGCAGAUCAAAUCAUUAUCAAUUACAACCUGUUCCAUAUCUCCGACAAGGUCUUAUCAUUCUUCUCCUCAUUUUUUCUCUUGUAUCUAGUGGUUCCUGUGAGUGAACAGGGAAACAAAUAUUUUCAGAGCAUUUUUGUUAGAAUGUGCUUUAAGAUCUAAUUUGAGACUGAAGUUGAAGCUAGGCUUUCUCAUUGUGUAUCUGAGUGUAGAUUUUUGACUGAUAGUAGUCUAG
rnacentral:misc_RNA from 1 species